rnacentral:rRNA from 1 species
CGGGUGAGUAAUGCGUGACCAACCUGCCCCAUGCUCCAGAAUAGCUCUUGGAAACGGGUGGUAAUGCUGGAUGCUCCAACUUGACGCAUGUCUUGUUGGGAAAGUGUUUAGUGGCAUGGGAUGGGGUCGCGUCCUAUCAGCUUGUAGGCGGGGUAAUGGCCCACCUAGGCUUCGACGGGUAGCCGGCCUGAGAGGGCGGACGGCCACAUUGGGACUGAGAUACGGCCCAGACUCCUAGGGAGGCAGCAGCC